rnacentral:lncRNA from 1 species
ACCCCUCUGGGCUCCAGCACCUAAAACAGACAAAACUGGGAGGAUGGUUCUCUCUUCUGUGUCACACAUGUCCUAGAGAAAACCUGUGUAUCUAAAUGACCAAAGAAAACGAUGAGAAAAAAUGCAAAAUCUGUGCCAGGUCAUUCAGUGUCUGGCUAGGGCUGUGUGGUGCACAUGCAUUCCAAGACUGAAGGGUGCUGAGCCUGCAGAAAAUGUCUGUCAGACCUGCCUCUCACACCUGGAGUAUGACUGCCCAUCCAGGUUCAUGAUGCAGAACUGUCUUUAAAAGGCCACAGCAGAUAUGGAGAGAGGGAUUUCUAACCCUAAUAGAAUAUGACCAGCUGUCCCGCUGGGGAAAGCCGCAUGCACCAGUGAUGUGCUGCCUAAACUGGCCCAGACCACACUCUACUGCCUAAUGAAUAAGCCCCACAUUUGCUCUUUAUGGGUAAAGGGAGAGGGUGAGAGAGGAGAGGAGUGUCUGCACAGACAUGAGAAGCCUGCAGAUCCAGAUGACCCCCUUGCUGAUCAGAAUAUUAAAAAUCGAUAUGCGGAAACAAUGACCCCAUAGCAGAUAAGCUUCUAGAGCAGGCUUCAACCAUGCUUCAUCUGGACCCACUGGAAGAGAAGUGUGCCCGCCAUCUAUGUUGAUGGUCUGGGGGAUACCAUUUCUGAGACAGAUUUAAGAAAUGGUCUCUACCUGUUGGCGAGAUCCGGAUGGUCACUGUUGUGCAGAGACAGCAGUGUGCUCUCAUCAGCUUUCCACAGGGCAGGCUAUGGAAAUGGCCACUGAGAAGUCCUUUUGUAAAUUGAUUGUCCAUGGCUGCAGACUCACCGUCAAAUGGGGGAAGAUUCCAAGCCCUCAAGGAAAAGGAGAAAGAGAAGCACAGAACGGCAGACUCUGGGAUCCUGCCAGAGCCUAUUUCAGGGCCGCCAGGAGGUCCUCCUCCUGCUGCA